rnacentral:rRNA from 1 species
GACGAACGCUGGCGGCGUGCUUAACACAUGCAAGUCGAACGGAAAGGCCCUGCUUUUGUGGGGUGCUCGAGUGGCGAACGGGUGAGUAACACGUGAGUAACCUGCCCUUGACUUUGGGAUAACUUCAGGAAACUGGGGCUAAUACCGGAUAGGAGCUCCUGCUGCAUGGUGGGGGUUGGAAAGUUUCGGCGGUUGGGGAUGGACUCGCGGCUUAUCAGCUUGUUGGUGGGGUAGUGGCUUACCAAGGCUUUGACGGGUAGCCGGCCUGAGAGGGUGACCGGGCCCAAUGGGACUUGGGAAACGGCCCGAAUUCCAAGGGGGGGAAGAGGGGGGGAAUAUGCCAAAAGGGGCGGAGGCCUGAGGAGGCAAGCCCGGGGGGGGAAGGCGGGCCUUGGGGUGGAAAACCGCUUCGCCCGGGAACGAAGGGGGGGGGGGGUAAAUGGGAAAAAAAGCACCGGUAAACUAGGG